UACAGAGGGUGCAAGCGUUGUUCGGAAUUAUUGGGCGUAAAGCGCGUGUAGGCGGCUUUGUAAGUUGGGUGUGAAAGCCCUCGGCUUAACCGAGGAAGUGCGCCCAAAACUGCAUGGCUUGAGUGCCGGAGAGGGUGGCGGAAUUCCUGGUGUAGCGGUGAAAUGCGUAGAUAUCAGGAGGAAUACCGGUGGCGAAGGCGGCCUUCUGGACGGUGACUGACGCUGAGACGCGAAAGCGUGGGGAGCAAACAGG
rnacentral:rRNA from 1 species